AGAGUUUGAUCCUGGCUCAGAAUCAACGCUGGCGGCGUGCCUCAGACAUGCAAGUCGAACGCGAAAGGCCCCUUCGGGGGCCGAGUAGAGUGGCGCACGGGUGAGUAACACGUAGGUAAUUUGCCUUCGGGUGGGGAAUAACAGCCGGAAACGGCUGCUAAUACCGCAUAAUGCAGCGGCUCGACAUCGAGACAGUUGUUAAAGCGGGGGAUCGCAAGACCUCGCGCCUGAAGAGAAGCCUGCGGCAGAUUAGCUAGUUGGCAGGGUAAUGGCCUACCAAGGCGACGAUCUGUAACCGGCCUGAGAGGGCGGUCGGUCACACUGACACUGACAUACGGGUCAGACUCCUACGGGAGGCAGCAGUCGGGAAUUUUGGGCAAUGGGCGAAAGCCUGACCCAGCAACGCCGCGUGAAGGAUGAAAUCCCUCGGGAUGUAAACUUCGCAAGAAUGGGAAGAAUAAGUAGAAGAUAAUACCUUCUAUGAUGACGGUACCAUUUGUAAGCUCCGGCUAACUCCGUGCCAGCAGCAGCGGUAAUACGGGGGGAGCAAGCGUUGUUCGGAUUUACUGGGCGUAAAGGGCGCGUAGGCGGCCACGACAAGUCACUUGUGAAAUCUCCGGGCUUAACUCGGAACGGUCAAGUGAUACUGUCGGGCUAGAGUGCAGAAGGGGCAACUGGAAUUCUCGGUGUAGCGGUGAAAUGCGUAGAUAUCGAGAGGAACACCUGCGGCGAAGCGGGUUGCUGGGCUGACACUGACGCUGAGC
rnacentral:rRNA from 1 species